CAGCAUGAAAUCUCCAUAUACUUUUUCUGCUAGCCAGCUGUUUCAUACAAGAGCACAGUCUUCAACUCUUGAACUUUGUAAAAGUGAUGGUCUGAAGGAAAGAACACUCUUCCAAGCCAAGUAGCUUCUGGACAACCACAUGCUUCUUCCUGUAAUAGAAGAUUAAAUUCUCACUGUGAACUUCCUUAAGUCCAGAGUCAGCUAUCAGGAAAAUACUUAAAUUUCUCUUAGUCAAUUGAAAAGGUUGUAAGCAAUGAUAGGGUCAUAGCUUCAUUUCAGUGGACAACAGAGGAGGAAAUUUCACCUAUGAGACAUUUUUGUCAAUAUUCACUGUAAUUUUAACACUUCUUAGCCAUGGAUGCAAAGAACCAAAAGAAUACAAUUAGUCAACUCAACCACACUGUAGUGUCUUACUUUCUAUGGUUACAAAUAAUACAUUAAAAAUUUCAUCCUUCAGUUUUCCUAAUGAAUGCUACAGAUUUCUUUUCUACUACCUAUUUUUUGAACCAACUUGCUAAAACAAAACAAGUGUCAUUCAGUUUAUUACAAGAACGAAGGUAGAAUCAGAACUAAUUUUACAUCUGGAUUACUACUGUCUUACAAAAGGACAUAUUGUAUACAUAUUAAUCAUUUAUAUGAAACUGAUUAAACAUAGAAGUUGCAGACUUUUCUUGAAUGUAAUUGAAAAACCUUUGUAUGUUGUAGAGCACUGAUUCUCACUAGAACUUUUGGGUCAUAUAUAAAAAUGUAUAUUGCCACUAGCUUCUUAAACGUGAUUCUUUAUUUCACUUAUCUUGUGUCAGAACUCUAUUAAUAUUCUUUAUUGACUGAUGCAAAAAAAAAUAAAAGUCAGCAGACAAAAGUAUUUUCAAAUCAGAGGGUUGUAUUAAAUAAUUUAUUUUAAAAUAUUUAAAUAAUAUUAUAUAAAUGUUAUAGCCACGUUUCUUUGUCUUAUGAGUGUCUGCCUGCUGCAUGACUUGUUUUCCGUACAUGUCCUUUUCUGUUAGCCUCUUUUCUUUAAGAUUACUUUUAUUAUCACACAUUUCUCAAAUUAUUUAUUUUUAUUUGAAAGUUAUUUGAGAACUGCGUAACUCUUUCCACAUCUGAUACUUCUACCAAAACCAAACCAAUUACAACAAAAACCACAUUGGCUUGUAUGGUACUAAAGUAAAUAUUCAGGCUUACAUCACUGUAAAUUCUGAGAGCUGAUGGGGUUAGCUCCACUCAACGCUGUUUGCAUUUAUUCCUCCAGGUGCUGUUACUCCCUAUGCCACCUUGGGUGAAAAUUUUCUGAUGUGUGGCCUAGAAAAUACCAAUACGUUCAAAAGUGACCGGCAGUCUGUGUGUAGAGGAAGGAGGG